CUUCUUCCCAGUCUGCCUUAGUUUGGAAGCUCCACUGAAACCUGUCCACCGUGGGUGACCCUACUGGUCUGAAAUACCAGUGGCAUAGCUUUCAGCAUCACUACAAUAUGCAGCCACCACCGUAUGACAACUGACAGGCCAAAAUCAUUCAAUUGGACCUUCCUAACUUUCCCAUUGAUGUAAGAGGCAAUGCUAGUGAAGAAAACACAUUGAGCUGCAGCUUGAAGGAUGGGCAGAAUCCACAGCAAAGGAGCAAAAGAACAUCUCAGAAAGAGACAACAACAUUGAAGGAAAGACAUGAAUGCUUCAGAGGUUAAGAGUAUGGACUCUGCAACUUGAGAGAUCUGGGUUCAAAUGCCAGCUCUGCCACUUCUAGUUGUAUCAUGAUCCCGCUCCUGACCAAUAAUAGAGUGUAAUCAGUUGGUACAUGCCAGACCCUAUCUCUAGGAGACCUAAGAUCAGAGGAGGGUGGCUGCAUUGAUGGAGUGCUGCAGAUGCAGCCAAGCAGAGGGUCCUCCCAACAUCCACUACUAUAUGCUGGAUAGAGUAUCAGAGCGGAAGUUCAGUAGAGGGGAGAGAGGGAAGA